CCCUUAGAUGUUCUGGGCUGCACGCGCGCUACACUGAUGCGUUCAACGAGUGUAUCGCCUUGCCCGAUAGGGUUGGGUAAUCUUUUGAACACGCAUCGUGAUGGGGAUAGAUUAUUGCAAUUAUUAAUCUUCAACGAGGAAUUCCUAGUAAUGAUGAAUCAUCAGUUCAUCGUGAUUACGUCCCUGCCCUUUGUACACACCGCCCGUCGCUCCUACCGAUUGAGCAAUCCGGUGAGGCUUUGGGAUCUGAGCGGAAAGAGCGUUUCGCUGUUUCUGCUCGGAAAACUCAGUCGAACCUUAUCAUUUAGAGGAAGGAGAAGUCGUAACA
rnacentral:rRNA from 1 species